UACAUGUUUCUGCAGUGAUUGGAAAAGAAGAAACAGAUCUGGAGACUGUGCUUGGAAUUUAUGCCUUUUGAUUGAAAACUGGCAUUUAACUCCUCAGGAGUGUAAAAGGAAAAUUUCCUUGAGAGCUCUCUACUACAAAACAAGUUUGAGAAUGGGAUUCCUUGACCUGUUUAUCGUGGCGUUGAUGCCAGUUCUAAAAACAUUGAUCAUUACCGCUAUUGGCCUGUUCCUUGCAAUAGAUCCAGUCAAUCUUUUGGGUCCGGUCGCAAGGCAACAUUUGAAUCAACUGGUAUUUUACGUUUUCACCCCUGCACGUAUGUGAUA